rnacentral:rRNA from 1 species
UACGAAGGGUGCAGGCGUUACUCGGAAUUACUGGGCGUAAAGCGUGCGUAGGUGGUUUGUUAAGUCUGAUGUGAAAGCCCUGGGCUCAACCUGGGAAUUGCAUUGAGGACUGGCGUGCUCGAGUGCGGCAGAGGGGGGUGGAAUUCCACGUGUAGCAGUGAAAUGCGUAGAGAUGUGGAGGAACACCGAUGGCGAAGGCAGCCCCCUGGGCCGACACUGACGCUCAUGCACGAAAGCGUGGGGAGCAAACAGG